rnacentral:snRNA from 1 species
UACUUUGCGCCGAGGCAAUAUCGUAACCAAUGAGGUUAAUCCGAGGUGCGAUUAUUGCUACUUGAAAACUGGAUCCUGUCUAGCACGUCUUUUACGACAGUGUAAAGAUUCUGAGAUGAUAAGUAUUUAAUUUGAUCAGUACA